rnacentral:rRNA from 1 species
AGGACGAACGCUGGCGGCGUGCUUAACACAUGCAAGUCGAGCGGAAAGGCCCUUCGGGGUACUCGAGCGGCGAACGGGUGAGUAACACGUGAGCAACCUGCCCUUAGCUCUGGGAUAGCUCCGGGAAACCGGAAUUAAUACCGGGUAUUACACCGGCUGGCAUCGGCUGGUGUGGAAAGAUUUAUCGGCUAAGGAUGGACUCGCGGCCUAUCAGCUUGUUGGUGGGGUAGAAGCCUACCAAGGCGACGACGGGUA